GUGAUUUAUCUUCACUGAAUUAUGCAUAUAUUGAAGAUGACAGUGACAGUUUCACUCAGCAAACUGCUCAAAAUGCAUUAAAACUCAUGACUGGAAUUUGUAAUGUCAAAUCUCUUACGCUGUCAGGUGAUAUCCUUAAGCAUCUCUUUUUUGAGGAAAAUCUCCAAGAUGGUCUUCCUCUAUUUCAUCGCUUGACUCAUUUGAAGGUGAUUCCCAGGAAACUUGGUUAUACAGAUUAUCUAGUGUGGAAGGAUAUUCUUCAAAAAUCACCUAACAUAGUUUCUUCUCGGAUGACAGGGUACUGACAGAUUUGCUGCAAGUUUCUAUAAUCUAGUAAAAAUACAGAGAUGUUGAAGGAGAUCAACCAUCAGUUAGAAGCAAUAAACAAAGGGUCAACAAAUUAGUGUACUUGAGUUUGAUGAGUGCUGAGUAUGGUUCUUAUUCAGUACUCCUUUCAUUUCAUAAGUUGUUGAAUUGGCAUAUCACAGCCAAC